UACGUAGGGUGCAAGCGUUAAUCGGAAUUACUGGGCGUAAAGCGUGCGCAGGCGGUUGUGUAAGUCUGUCGUGAAAUCCCCGGGCUCAACCUGGGAAUUGCGAUGGAGACUGCACGGCUAGAGUGUGUCAGAGGGGGGGUAGAAUUCCACGUGUAGCAGUGAAAUGCGUAGAUAUGUGGAGGAACACCGAUGGCGAAGGCAGCCCCCUGGGAUAACACUGACGCUCAUGCACGAAAGCGUGGGGAGCAAACAGG
rnacentral:rRNA from 1 species